CCUACGGGUGGCAGCAGUCGAGAAUCAUUCACAAUGGGGGAAACCCUGAUGGGGCGACGCCGCGUGGGGGAAUGAAGGUCUGCGGAUUGUAAACCCCUGUCAUGUGGGAGCAAAUUAAAAAGAUAGUACCACAAGAGGAAGAGACGGCUAACGCUGUGCCAGCAGCCGCGGUAAGACAGAGGUCUCAAGCGUUGUUCGGAAUCACUGGGCGUAAAGCGUGCGUAGGCGGUUUCGUAAGUCGUGUGUGAAGGGCGCGGGCUCAACCCGCGGACGGCCCAUGAUACUGCGAGACUAGAGUAAUGGUGGGGGAACCGGACUUCUCGGUGUAGCCGU
rnacentral:rRNA from 1 species